UUAUCGCAGGAGCCGUGGAAACGGCGGUCGUGUCGUCUCUCCGUGGGUCCCUCCCGUGUGUGUGUGGGGGGGGGGGGGGAGGAGCCUGGCGCCGGCGCAGAGCAGCAGCGGGAGUCCCCCGGGCCGGCCAGGCCUCCGGCCGGUCACCCCGGACCUGGACGUGCCGGUCGGGGCGGCAGGAGGUCCGUGUGCACGUGCGGGGCUGUGUGCGGUGCCGGGGCCGAUGACCUCUGUGGUCGCGGGCUGGGACAGCCGGUGACGGAGGCCGGCCGCCGCACCGUCGGGGCCUCUUGGAGCCGGUGACGUUGGCGCCGCGGCUGCAGCAGCAGCGGCAGCGGCGGCAGCAGCAGGAGUUUGGCCGACUCCGGUGAAGCCAGUGGGAAGCGCCAGCACCGAGCCCGGAGUUUCAGGUGUGCGACACGGGUUCCGAGCAGCAGCGGGUGCCCGCCACGAGGGCGUCCUCAACCCCCGUCCCCUGCUCCAUCCACCACCCUCCCUGGUAACCGCCGGCGUGGUCCCCACAGAAUUUCCGUGAUCACCGGGGGAAAUGCUCUCGGGGUCUGCCCCGGCCUGGACCCGAGGGCGGCCCUUCUGCGUUAACCGCCCGCGUGCCCCCCGCGCCGGAGUCCCAGCUCCCAGAGGACCGCUCUGGCUCUUGGGCCUCCCGCCUGCUGCGGUCACCCGCGCUCAGCGUGCGCUCCGGGGAAAGCGCGUCCGGUAGGCGGCUGUGGCGGCAGAGGACCUGCCGGUGACGUUCUUGGGACUGUGGUCCCCUGGCUCGUCCAGGCGGUGUCUGGAAUCGGAGCAGAAGGUGAUCUUGGG